GACGAACGCUGGCGGCGUGCUUAACACAUGCAAGUCGAACGGAAAGGCCCUGCUUUUGUGGUGUGCUCGAGUGGCGAACGGGUGAGUAACACGUGAGUAACCUGCCCUUGACUUUGGUAUAACUUCAGGAAACUGGGGCUAAUACCGGAUAGGAGCUCCUGCUGCAUGGUGGGGGUUGGAUAGUUUCGGCGGUUGGGGAUGGACUCGCGGCUUAUCAUCUUGUUGGUGGGGUAGUGGCUUACCAAGGCUUUGACGGGUAGCCGGCCUGAGAGGGUGACCGGCCACAUUGGGACUGAGAUACGGCCCAGACUCCUACGGGAGGCAGCAGUGGGGAAUAUUGCACAAUGGGCGGAAGCCUGAUGCAGCAACGCCGCGUGCGGGAUGACGGCCUGCGGGUUGUAAACCGCUUUCGCCUGUGACGAAGCGGGAGUGACGGUAAUGGGUAAAGAAGCACCGGCUAACUACGUG
rnacentral:rRNA from 1 species